rnacentral:rRNA from 1 species
GACGUAGGGCGCGAGCGUUGUCCGGAUUUAUUGGGCGUAAAGAGCUCGUAGGCGGCUUGUCGCGUCGACUGUGAAAACUGGAGGCUCAACCUCCAGCCUGCAGUGGGUACGGGCAGACUAGAGUGCGGUAGGGGAGAUUGGAAUUCCUGGUGUAGCGGUGGAAUGCGCAGAUAUCAGGAGGAACACCGGUGGCGAAGGCGGCACUCUGGGCCGGUACUGACGCUGAGGAGCGAAAGCGUGGGGAGCGAACAGG